rnacentral:lncRNA from 1 species
AGAAUAUAAAACUUCAUCAUUAAACUAGAAACAAGUUGUAUAAAGAUUGAAUCUUUAUUGUUAGUAUUCUAAAUACUAAGUGGUUUGUCUAGUUGUAACAAAAAGGGGGGGAAAAACACUAGUGACAUAAAAUUAGUGAUUUUUGUGCCUGCAAUGGGUGUUUAUAUGGAUUAAAUCUCCAAAAGAAGGCUUCGUGUUGCCAAUAUGUAUUUUGAUGGUAUACAAUAUGAAAGCAUGGAAAAAAAAUAUGUGGAAAAUAAUUUCAAAUACUUGAAAAAUAUUUUUGAGAACAUAUUUAAAAUGUGGGGGAUUCUUUACUUGUGAUAAAGACAAAAUUAGACUUACUAUCUAAUUUAAAUUUGAAAGUACAAGAUAUGAAAUUUAAUGACAUUCUUGUAUUAUGUUAGACCCACAAAAUUCUUGGAGUAUAUUUGAUAUUGUGGUCGUUGAGUCUCUCU